GACAUCGUCAAGGUGCACCCUCAGUGUCUGUGGAGGCUGAAUAAUGCCCUCCCCACCCAAGGAUGCCCAUGUUCUAAUCUUCAGAACCCAUGCAUGUCACCUUCUAUGACAAAAGGAACUUCACACAUGGGAUGGAGUGAAGGGUCUGGAGAUGGGGAGAUGAUCCCGGAUGAUCCAGGGAACCCCACAGGUUACCACAAGGUCCUUACGAGAAGAAGGCAGGAGGGAGAAAAUCAGAGAAGGAGCGGCAAGGACAAAGCGGGGUCAGGGUGAGAUGAGAGGACAGACACACAGAGACACGGAAACCAGCCCUGGGUCACACAGCUGGGAAGCGGCCGUGACUUUCCUACUCAGGCCCGUGGCACACGGAGCCCCAGAGAAAGGCUCAGGAGAAGGGAGACGCGUGGGACUAAUGGUCUUGGAAGCACAGCCGGGGUGACGGAAGGUUCAGGAUGGCCCCUCAGGAGACCUGAGCUCUCGCCCAAGAACGCUGGGGCAGCUGGAUACCUCUUCCAGGCCUCAGAUACCUCAUUUGUCAAAAGGGGGAGUCAGACAAAACCAUCUCUGAACUCCUUCUAACUAUAACAUGUGUGGUCUGAAAUUUUUAAAAAGGGAAAGGCAAAGAAAGCAGAGAAGAGGUGAAGAGAGGAGGGGAAAAAAGAACAGAGAAAAAUCUCUGUGUGCUGGGGGACUGCUUUCCUUCUAGCUCUGAUGUACUUAUCUCUGUCCAUAAAGAGAAAUCCCUCCCCAUCAUACUGUUGACUUUUGGCCCUUCGUCUACAUUACCAAACCUCGUUCUUACUGCAUCUGUGCUUCUAUUAUGAGUGGCGUCUUUCCAUCCUGAAGUAGGCAGGGUAAAAACAAAUGAAACCAGGGAUCCCAAUUACCUCACUUGUCUGUGUUCAACGGCAGAGGCACAGAGAGCCGAAAAUGCAAGAACACGGUAGCUAGGAGGGACCGAUUCUCAUGCAGGGACAACAGUGCCAGCCCUAGGCAGUAUCACAGGUGCUGGGUUGGGGUCUGGGCUGAGAAUCUGGGUCUCAUCAGCGACAUCAACAUGGAUCAUGCCACCAGCAGUGACAGCAUCUUCAUGCAGCCAGAAGCCGCUGACUCUAUGAAGAAUGGAAGACGGCCUCGAGUACUUUCCAGGUACUGGCACAUUGCCAAGGCCUCUCACGUCCCCCUUCCUGCCUGAAAAUCCACUGUUCAUGUGCUACUUCUGCCAGAGGUUUAGAUAAGAGGAGGGAGUACACAGUUGUCUGAAGGUAAGGGGCACCAUCCUGGGACCUUCCACAUACUCCUCAGUGAGCAAUAGUGCACCCUAUGUUUGAACUGAGGAGACAGGGAGACUUGAGGCAGAUCAGGGCUUCUGGACCGUGGUUCAAUUUGCUGCCCAGGUCCAUCCGGGGGCAGCAUCCCUGGCACCAUUUGCUUUUACCUAAUAAUCCAACACACGCACUAAAGAAAGGAGGAAAGUCACCCCUGCUUCCAUCUCUCAUCUACUGCAUUCAUGGCCCAUCCCAACUUUACAACUUUAUUUUUAUUUUUAUUUUUUUUUGAGAUGGAGUUUCGCCCUUAUUGCCCAGGCUGGAGUGCAAUGGUGCGAUCUCAGCUCACCGCAACCUCUGCCUCCUAGGUUCAAGCGAUUCUCCGGCCUCAGCCUCCCGAGUAACUGGGAUUACAGGCAUGUGCCACCACGCCUGGCUAAUUUUGUAUUUUUAGUAGAGACAGGGUUUCUCCAUGUUAGUCAGGCUGGUCUCGAACUUCCGACCUCAGGUGAUCUGCCCACCUCGGCCUCCCAAAGUGCUGGGAUUACAGGUGUGAGCCACUGCACCUGGCCUACAACUUUCUAAGGUAAGGUAUCCCACCAUUGGGUGAAGUCUGGUCCCAAUAAUCAGAUAACAGAAAUCACUCAAAAGCAAAGACGUCCUACCUGCCAUGUAGGUGAUCACACUUUGACAUUUCUUUCUGCCUCUACCCAUACAGGUUUGAACUUCACUAAGGAAAAAGAAUAGCCUGUACAAAUGUCAAAGCCCGAAGUGAAAACUGAAGUCCUCAGCAUAAGCAGGAACCAUUCCCAGAUGGGAGGGAAAGUGCCUAGAAAGUUGCUGAGUCCACACUCAAGUUGUUGUUUGAUAAGUUUUACAAAAUGACAAAGAUUGGGCCAUAGACAGACAUAUUUGAUGUACAUUCUGGUAUUUGCAGAUUUGAUCAGGCUGGAAUACAGCAGCUCAAUCUCGGCUCACUGCAACCUCCGCUUCCUGGGUUCAAGUAAUUCUCCUGCAUCAGCCUCCCAAGUAGCUGGGACUACAGGUGAAAGGUUUAAGGCACUAAGGAAGAGUCACCCUUGUUGCCUCAUCAACAUUAAUUAGCUGGCAUGAUUUCCAAAUAGCCUUUGAUUAAAACCUUUGAGACAGCGACAGUCAAGAAAAACAAGGUCCAAGUCUGUGUUCGUCGAACAAAACAAAUGCAGUCCAGAACAAUCAUUUCUUGGCGUUCAUGUCCCGAAAAGCAGACCCACAAAAGACAGGCCAUCACUCAAGUUCAUCUGAGAGCAACCUGCAAGCGGAUCCAGGCUUAGGGCAUAACAAGACGGCCCACAAGCCUCGACUAUAGAGAGGUUCACAAGCACUUCUCAAGGAGCCUGUAGGAAGCUCUGUUAUCCCCAGCAGAUAACGCAGACAAUACUAAAACAUGGCCCACCAUGGCAAGACCAAGUCUCAGAUCUCUCCUCCUGGGUUGUAUGUGCUGGCCAAGGGCCUCCAAGUCCCAACGGGAACGUUCUAUCUACACCCGCAGCCUCCUGGCCCUUCCCUCCCUUCAGCGGCUGCAGCCCACAUACACCUCACUCACCUCGUACACAUUGUAUGCCUCAUCACUUCUCCCCUCUCGCAGCUUGGUGAGAUCAAAGGCUGUGGCUGAUGUGGAUAAAUUACACUCUAAUGUGAAAGACAUUCAGUCAUGCUAUUGCUUUACCUCAGGCAUCAGAGUUGGGUAAUAAAGAAAAGGCUUGUGCCUGGGUAGAAAAGG